GCAGUCAUGGCCUAAUGGUUAGAGAGCCUGACUUGUAACCUGAAGGUCUUGGGUUCGAGUCUCAGGUCCAGCA